GACAACAGUGCAGUGGUGGACAGAAAGCAAGUGAUCUAGGCCAGCAGCCUCCCUAAAGGGACUUCAGCCCAGAAAGCUAAACUUGUGGCUUUAAUACAAGCUCUAUAAAUGGUAAAAGAAAAGUCUACACUGACAGCAGGUACGCUCUUGCCACUGUACAGAGCAAUAUACAGACAAAGAGAGCUGUUGACAUCAGCAGAGAAAGACCUAAGAUGCUGUGGCUAAAAAAAAAAAAAUCAGGUGGCAAAUCUAACCGCCCAGGCAUCCUAAAGAGCAAUGAUCCUGACAGUCUGAAGACUAUCAAGUUAUAGACAAAUUAAGACUGGUAAAAGAAACCCUGUAUAAAAUAGUAAAAACUGAAAAAAAAAACUAGUCCUCUCAUGAGAAGACAGACCUGACAUCUACUGAAAAAUAGACUUCACUGAAAAAAAAAAUAUGUGUAUAAAUACCUUCUGGUUUUUGUGAACGUUCUCAAGAUAGAUAAAAGCUUUUCCUUGUAAAACGAGACUGAUCAGAUAGUCAUCAAGAAGAUUGUUAAAGAAAAUUUUCCAAGGUUCGGAGUGCCAAAAGCAAUAGUGUCAGAUAAUGGUCCUGCCUUUGUUGCCCAGGUAAGUCAGGGUGUGGCCAAGUAUUUAGAGGUCAAAUAAAAAUUCCAUUGUGUGUACAGACCUCAGAGCUCAGG
rnacentral:lncRNA from 1 species